GACAGAGGUCCCGAGCGUUAGGCGGAAUCACUGGGCUUAAAGCGUGUGUAGGUGGAUGCCUAAGUACCUUGUGAAAUCCCACGGCUUAACCGUGGAAUUGCUUGGUAUACUGGGUGUCUUGAGCUAGCUAGGGGCAACCGGAACAAAUGGUGGAGCGGUGAAAUGCGUAGAUAUCAUUUGGAACGCCAAUGGUGAAAACAGGUUGUG
rnacentral:rRNA from 1 species